rnacentral:rRNA from 1 species
CGGAGGAUCCAAGCGUUAUCCGGAUUUAUUGGGUUUAAAGGGUGCGUAGGCGGCCUAUUAAGUCAGGGGUGAAAACUUGCAGCUCAACUGUAAGCGUGCCUUUGAUACUGAUGGGCUUGAAUGGACAUGAGGUAGGCGGAAUGUGACAAGUAGCGGUGAAAUGCAUAGAUAUGUCACAGAACACCGAUUGCGAAGGCAGCUUACUAAUGUUUUAUUGACGCUGAGGCACGAAAGCGUGGGGAUCAAACAGGAUUAGAUACCCUGGUAGUCCACGCCGUAAACGAUGAAUACUCGAUGUUAGCGAUAAACAGUUAGCGUCCAAGCGAAAGCGUUAAGUAUUCCACCUGGGGAGUACGCCCGCAAGGGUG